UGGUUCAGUCGGUAGAGCAGGGUGCUUGUAACAUCAAGAGUGUGGGUUUGAUUCCCAC
rnacentral:tRNA from 1 species